rnacentral:rRNA from 1 species
AGAGUUUGAUCAUGGCUCAGGACGAACGCUGGCGGCGUGCUUAACACAUGCAAGUCGAACGGAAAGGCCCUUCGGGGUACUCGAGUGGCGAACGGGUGAGUAACACGUGGGUGAUCUGCCCUGCACUUUGGGAUAAGCCUGGGAAACUGGGUCUAAUACCGAAUAUGACCACGCGCUUCAUGGUGUGUGGUGGAAAGCUUUUGCGGUGUGGGAUGGGCCCGCGGCCUAUCAGCUUGUUGGUGGGGUAAUGGCCUACCAAGGCGACGACGGGUAGCCGGCCUGAGAGGGUGACCGGCCACACUGGGACUGAGAUACGGCCCAGACUCCUACGGGAGGCAGCAGUGGGGAAUAUUGCACAAUGGGCGCAAGCCUGAUGCAGCGACGCCGCGUGAGGGAUGACGGCCUUCGGGUUGUAAACCUCUUUCAAUAGGGACGAAGCGCAAGUGACGGUACCUAUAGAAGAAGGACCGGCCAACUACGUGCCAGCAGCCGCGGUAAUACGUAGGGUCCGAGCGUUGUCCGGAAUUACUGGGCGUAAAGAGCUCGUAGGUGGUUUGUCGCGUUGUUCGUGAAAACUCACAGCUUAACUGUGGGCGUGCGGGCGAUACGGGCAGACUAGAGUACUGCAGGGGAGACUGGAAUUCCUGGUGUAGCGGUGGAAUGCGCAGAUAUCAGGAGGAACACCGGUGGCGAAGGCGGGUCUCUGGGCAGUAACUGACGCUGAGGAGCGAAAGCGUGGGGAGCGAACAGGAUUAGAUACCCCGGUAGUCCAA